CGGCGCCGUGGCCACCGCCGGCACCCGCGAGCCGGGGUCGCAGGGGCUGGGCGUGCGGCAGGGGUCGGGGAUGGCCUGAGAGAGGCGCGACUUGGGGCCGUGGGAAGGAUGGUCUUCCCCGCAGAGUUGCGCUCUAGGACGGAAAGUUUUUGCACGCAGCCCCGCCAGCGCGUCCUUCCCUCGCCGGUCCCUGUCGCCCACGGUGAGGCGCCCCCGCGAGGAUCCCCGCCGCUUAGUGGGGAGGGGCCGAGCAGCCCCCCUCCCCGACGACCACCCCAAGCCAGGGAGGGGACCCUGGUGACCUCUUCUCCCAGCCACCUCUCCCUCCACCCUGUCUUCUCUUUCACGGUGGACCUUGGGCCGUGGAGGAUUCCUGCACCCUGCGGAUGCCUUUGGGAGCUGAGACCAGUGGGUAGAUGGAAGUGGUUCUAAAAAGCAGGCUGCUGCCCUGCGUCAAUUGGUGGAGACUGCUGUCUGAAACUUCUUCUGCCUGGAACUCCAUCCUGACAUGGACUUCAGGGCAGGGGAACCACAAAGGUGGACCCAAUGGCUACAGCCAGCUUGGACUCUUGGUGAAAGCCUCCCCCAAGAGGAUGAACACCUAACCCGGUCAACUACUUUGCCAUCGUGGGCUUCUUUCAUCACACAGACACCCAGCAAGGGGGGUGCCGUGAGAGCCAUCAUCGCUACAAGAAAAACUCAAGUCUUUCCACUUUCAAUAUAUGAAAGCCAGAUUUUGUUACUGGAUGAAUUUUGUUACUGGAUGAAUGAAACCUUAUGAAUGGAUGGAUACUGGAUUGAAGGAUUCCAGAGUCAUACCUAGGUCAUCCAAGACAGGUCCCCAACUGGAUGCUACCUGACCGGCUCCCAGCCUUCGAUUCCCAGAAUCGAAGAAAAUGUAAGCUCUCUAUCUUAGGGAUAUAGUUCUUAGGCAAUCAUCAAGUAAUGUGGACGUCUCUUUCUUAUUCUCUGAAUCCUUUACAGACCAUUGCUUUCCUAUUCUAAUGGGAAGGCUGAUCAGCGCUAAGACACCGAUGCUAGAUAGCUCUUAUUAUUCCCAAUUUAUAGAUGAUGAAAUUGAGGUGCAGAGGGGAAGUAAAAUAAAGCACAACUCCCUCGCGCUGAAGUUAUCAAACCCCUGGCCAGGGUUACUGCAUAGGUUGUGCACUGCACAGCUGGGCCACUUUUAAGGGACCACCAUUCACAUCACAGACAUCAUAGAUUUACUGUGACAGUCUUCCUGGUGGAUGGCACUAAAGUGCCUUGUUCUAACAAAAUCAGGAAUAUGAAGACUAUUUUCUAAGAGAUGGAAGUAAAGUUUCUUGGAGAAGGUGUGCCUUUUCCUGAUGCUCACUGUGGUGCCAGAUGAACUCGCAGAAGGAAGGGGAUUAUUGGUCCCUCUUUGUCUAUGUUAACAGUUCAACUGGGAGUUUUACUUUUUGCUUGAACAGAGGUCACCCUCCCUUGCUGACCACGUGUGUAACUGUAAAGUAUUGUAGAGUGAGGCAGGUUACGAUGAAUUCAUUUGAGUUGGCAGAUUUCCCAAGAAGACUGUCACGUAUGAGAAAUAUGGUGCCUUGAGGGUUGGAAUAAAUAAAACGAUAUUGGUAUCUAAAUUUGGUUGUUCACACUUCAGGUACAGUUUAAGUCAUCUUAAGGCUGGAGGAAGACACAUUGACAUGUAUAUCAGUUUAAUAAAUGUGGCAGCAGGAGGUGCAAAGAGUAUCGUUUCAAUUAUGGAUUGACCUGUGAUUGAAUAGCAACGUGUGUUGCCUAGUUUGUUAUCGAUGCUAAGUAAUGGCAGGUUCUGGACUCUCAGGAGGGAGAGGGCAGAUGUUGGAGCACUGAUCGACUCAUGGGCUCCAUGUUUUGGCCCUGUACAGGGAGAAUCAAAAUACAAGUAAAAUAUUGUAAGAUGGGACUGAUAGUAUUGCAGGUGUUAACAGAGCCUGUCCGAGCUUUCGUCCUUUAUACCUACAGAACCAUGUUUAACACAGAGACAGUACUCUACAACGUAACUGUCCUGUUUACCUUUGUUCUGAAUCUUUACUGUGCCAUUUCAUGAUGUUUUAAGGGAAGAAAGACCUCACCGGUUGCCGCAUUUUAGAAGGCUUUAGUUUUUCCACCUAUGCAGACACCUUGGCAUUUAGACACUUUGGGUAAUCGAAAUAAUCGCCUCUUUUAAUGCCUAGCAACCACCCAAACUGGGGUGGGAGGCGGAGUAUAUAAAGGAAUUAACAACCCCCAGUUUAUGAUCGGAAUAAGAAAGGUUGACAGACUGACCUUGCCUGGCCACAUGCCAGGUGGCAUAGAAUGUGAGUAGUUGUGCCCAUGAGGAGCUUACAGACUAGUUUGAGGGUGAUGUAGGUGCAGUCAAUAACUGGAGAACAGAAUAGCCAGUGAGAAGGUGCAGAUCCGAUGUGCAGAUAAUAAAUGCCUAGGUGUUUCAGCAGGACAGAUUGCUCUGGUGGGCGGAGAAGGCUUGGGAGAGAGGAGGAAUUUGAACUGGGCCGUGAAGGACUGGGAGAUAUAAAUAGCCGGAAGGGAACAGAGUGAUGGAUGGGGACAGUGGCCAUCUUAAGUAAGUGCCUCAGGUCACAGAUAAUAGUUCCCUAAAACAAAGCUCUUAGUGGAAAACAGGCAAGGCAAGAAGGGAUUUGGAAUCAGGAAGGGUUUAAAACUGUUACACAGUGUUUCCAAGAUGAAAAUCUGCAGUGUGAGAGAAUGUGGGUAAUAAUACUGUGUGUUCUUAGUCAAAUGGCAUAUUUCUUUGAGAAAUACUAUUUAAUCAAGAACAAAUUUCUAAAAUUAGGGUUCUAUUGAUCCAAAUGAGCUAAUGAGGUGAGAAACUUGAAGUUUUCAAGGUUCUUUAGCCAUCUGGCCAGUAUGUUUAGAAAUUGCACCCAACUGUACUGAUAAAAGGGCAGUCUCUGUGGUUUACCUUUAACACUCCAAUACUGGGUCAUCUUCAAAGACAAGUUCCACAGACCUUCCACUCUAAACAGACUGACCAAAGGGCUGAGAUUGCCUAGGGAGUCCCAGAUUAUGCAAAAUUAUUAAUAGCUUCCUCUUUCAGUCUCAAAAGUGUCCUGGUUUGGGUGAUAAAUUGUAUGACUACCCUCAUUCUAAGUGAGCCACUUUGGACUUUUUUUGCUUAUUCUGUGAAUCCUCAGUGGCCAAAAAGGAUGCUUCCAGCUUAAGGGUAUUUGCCCACAUGUGCAUUCUGUCUUUUUGAAAUGUUCUUUUCCCUUGCAUAUAAAGCAAUCUUUGCAAAAAAUUCAGAAAAAAAACCCAACAUAAAUAAGAUGAAUUAUCAAAAAUCUGGAAAUAAGUGUUAAUACUUUGAUAUAGAUGCAUAACUAUAUCUAUUAAUUUGUCAUAUAAUUGUAUAUUUUUAGAUCCCUAAUCUCCAAACCAAGCCACUUUAUUUGGAUUAGCAUUCCAAAUAUAAAUAUAUAGAUACGGCUACUACAUAAAAUUAUAUAUUUAGAACUAUAUACUAACAUAAUCAAUAUAGAUAGAUGUAGAUGUAAUGACAUUUUAAAAUAAUCACUUUUAAAGACAGCAUAGUAUUCUAAUGAAAGGUUGUUCUUAAACUAUAAUGUAUUUAAAUCCUCAAAAUGGGCAGAAGACCCAAAUGGACAUUUCUCCAAAGAAUACAUACAGAUGGUCA